rnacentral:lncRNA from 1 species
CACAUGCCUGUAAUCCCAGCUACUCCGGAGGCUGAGGCAGGAGAAACUCUUGAAGCCGGGAGGCAGAGGUUGCAGUGAGCCAAGAUCACACCACUGCACUCCAGCCUGGGUGACAGAGAGAGACUCCAUCUCAAAAAAAAAAAAAAAAAAAAAAAAAAAAUAGGCUUGUUAAUCUCUUAGAUAAGGGUCUGGCAAAAAAAAAAAUAGUGCUCUCUGAAUGUUGGCUAGUAUAAUUAUUACAUUUUUUUUUUAACAACAAUACCUUACUUUUGCCUUAUGCCAAACCUUUCAAAGCCUGUGGGAAAUGUUUUCUCAUGUGAGCCUGGACCAGUGCCAUGUAGUAGACAAGGCAAAUAUUUAUGUCUAGUUUACAAAGGAGUUCAUUUCGAAGAGUUCAGGAACAUGAGAAAUCCUAGAGCCAGGGAUGGUAGAUGCAGAAGCCAGGUGGGCUGACUAAGCCUGGAGGGUAAGAACUGCCCUGGGGAAUACUGUGAAAGAUGAGAAAAAUCUGUCUUUAGCUCUGCCCCCCUUCACCCUUCACUGCUGCAGCCUGAAUUGCUUUCAGCUAUGGUCCCCUCUGAGCUCUGAUAUUGCUGUAAAGGGCUGUUUUUCACAAGCCCAUUGCUUGUUUAAGCAGGGCCACUGGAGGGACCUCAAAAACCCUGCAGAAUUUACUUGUGAUGGAGUUAUUCAGGCACUUCUUGAAACACUUGAGGAACUUAACACAUUGGCUUUCUAGACAGGUAACUCUAGCAGCUGAUGGAGAAUAGUUGGAGGCCUGGAUUCAGGGAGACGAGUAGGGAGGCUGUAUUGAUAAUUCAGGUGAGAAAUAUUGAUUGGUCUGAAUUAAAGCACUAGCAAUGGAGGAGAAGAAAAGAGGCUAGCACGAGGAGAGGUAGGAGGUAGUGCUGAGAGUUGACUGAAUGAAUGUGGAAGAUAAUGGGGAGCUGGGGUUGGAGCUGACAGGAAAUACUUCAUAGAGCAGCGGUUCUCAAGCUUUUUUUGUUUUAACAUCAGAAUCACUUGGUGGGCUUGUGAAAAUAGAGAUUGCUGGGCCCCUACCCAAAAGUGGGUGAGGGCUCUCUUCAUAGUUCGAAGACAGCCAUCUUCCUCUUGUAUCCUCACAGGUGUGGUCCCAGAACCAGCAGCAUUAGGAUCACCUGGGAACUUGUUAAAAAAAUGCAAAUUUGUGGGCCCCUCUUUUGGGUAGGGGCUCAGCAAUCUCUAUUUCUCCACCCCACCUCAACUCACUUUAUUGGCUUUCUCUUUAUCUAGUUGCACAAAAUGGGAGUGAAUGCAAAGUCACAAGGCCCAUUGCUGCUUUGCCAUGGCCACCUAAUGGUUCAGACCAGGAACAUUAUCAGGAACCACUAUCCUAGAGAACAGCGUGGUUAGGUUUCAAUGUAGCUUCUAGGAAGGAAUUAGAUGCAGAUGGGCUGAGAAGAUGGAGGAAAGCAUGUUAGGUGGGCUAAAUGGCAUGGACAGUCAGUAAUAUGAGACUGUGUCCUGCCUGUUCAAGUGGCCUCUUGAGGGCCUGAGUGUGGUAGAGAUAAGACUUUUUAAAUAACCAGUGCCUUUGCAGUGUAUCUGUUUGUGAGCGCUUCCCUUGCUCAUGUUGUGAUAUAGCCAUUGGAUUUAAUGAGUCUUAGUGUGAGUUGUUUCAGAUUCAGAUGCCAAGAGGAUUUAAAUGAAAUUAAGAAGUGCAGGCAACUCCAGAAAAGAAAGGCAUGUUGUACAGGGAAGAGAAGGUGGAGUCACAAAGCCACAGGAAAACUGGGAUCGAAUGCAUACUUAUAUCUGGAGUCCUGGAGCAUUUUGCAGUUCCAGAAAGUAAGAAAAUGCACUUUCUCUCUCUGUCUCUCUCUCUCUCUCUCACACACACACACACACACACACACACACACACACACACACACACACACUGAUGGGGGGUAUGUCAAAGGAAUGCAGGAGCCAACUAAAAGAGCUGCCAAUGGUCAAAGCUAGAACCAUUUGAGUAAUAAAAUAAAGAAGUAUUGGAUUGUAACACAAAGUAUAAAAUAAAUAUCCAUUAGUCCUUACUGAUAUAAAUAAGUGAUUAAAUAAAUAAAUUGGGAAAAAGAGAAAAUUUUCCCAUGCUGAAGAAUUUCAGAUAAUUUAUGUAGUUACUCCACCCUCAAGGAGGGGUGCACAACUCUCCAAUCCUUAGGUUUUGGCUGUGCCUAGUGACUUCCUUCCAAAGAGUGUGGUAUGAAGAGAGGUGGUGGGGAGAGUAAUUUUACAGAGCAGAAACCUCCCAAACACCACAGCCAGGUGAUGAACAAGGCCAACAUCAACAGUAGUAAGUCAUGGGGAUAGCAGUUACUCUUGAUAUGAUGGGAAGAAAAUGGCACUUCACCUCUGUGGUCUUCCUCCCAAUAACUCAUAACCCGAGUAUUUUCUAUGAGGAAAGACGUCAGACAAAUUCCAAUACUAGGCAACCUAUAAAAUACUUGGCCUGUACUCCUCAAAACUAACAAGGUCAUCAAAAAUAAAGUGUGAGAAAUUGCCACAUUUAAAAAGACAUGACAACUUAAUGUAAAGUGGUAUCUGAGAUGGAAUCUUGGAACAGAGAAAGGGCAUUGAAUAAAAGCUAAGAAUCUCUAAAUAAACUAUGCCAUUUUAAAAAUAAUGAUGUGUCAAUAUUGGCUUAUUAAUCAUAACACAUGUAUCAUACUAAUGUAAAGUGUCAACGAUGGGGAAACUGAAUGGAAGGUAUCUGGGAACUUUCUGUACUGUCUCCUCAGUUGUUUCUGUAAAUCUAAAACUGUUCUAAAAAAUAAAGUUUGUUAAAAAGAAAAUAUCCAAAUUCUUGUGAAUAUUCUUGAUCUCUUUUCUACUGAUUAAAGGGUAUAUUAGUUAUCUAUUGCUGCAUAACCAAUUGCCACAAACCUAGUGGUUUAAACAAGACAUAUUCAUUGUUUCACAGUUUCUGAGUAUUAGGAGUUUCGGCUUGGCUUACCUGGGUCCUCUUUAGGAUCUCACAAGGCUCCAAAGAAGUUAUUGGGUUGGUGAGGCUGUUCUCAUCUGCAGGCUGGACUGGGGAAGAAUCUCCUUCCCAGAUUAGUCUGAUUCUUGGCAGGACCAUUUCCUUGCAGCUGUAUGACUGGAAGCCCAGCUUUUUACUCUCUUCUUCCGGGGGCUGUCCUCAGCUCCUAGAGGGCAACAGCAGUUCCUUGCCAGGUGAGCUUCCCC